GAUGAACGCUGGCGGUAUGCCUAACACAUUGCAAGUCGUACGAGAGUUUUUAACUCUAGUGGCGGACGGGUGAGUAACACGUGAGAAUUUGCCUUUAGGAGGGGGAUAACAAUUGGAAACGAAUGCUAAUACCCCAUAUGCUUUUGAGUGAAACGGAUUUAUCCGCCUAGAGAGAAGCUCGCGGCUGAUUAGCUUGUUGGUAAGGUAAGAGCUUACCAAGGCGACGAUCAGUAUCCUGGUUUGAGAGGACGAUCAGACACACUGGAACUGAGACACGGUCCAGACUCCUACGGGAGGCAGCAGUGGGGAAUUUUCCGCAAUGGGCGAAAGCCUGACGGAGCAAUACCGCGUGAGGGAAGACUGCCUAUGGGUUGUAAACCUCUUUUUUCAGGGAGGAAUAAAUGACGUGUACCUGAAGAAUAAGCAUCGGCUAACUCCGUG
rnacentral:rRNA from 1 species